AGGUCCUGAGUAAACUGCUUGCAAGGAGAGCUCCGGUGUUGCGUCUUCCUUGCUGGUCGAGGCAGUCGUGACAAAUGGUGGCCUGUACGGGAUUCUCCUCUCCUCUCCCUGGAGCCCAGAACUUGCAGCAGUCACGGGGUACACCGGUAAGUCCUCAAGGAUCAUUUGGACCCUAUUUGGGUACCGGAACGUUUGGUGAGAAAAGUACAGGUGCGAGGAACGACAAGCAAGAUGAAACCUCAGACUAUUGGCUGAGAAUCUUACAAAGAAUGGUAACCUGAGCCGGCAGCUGAGCGCAUACCUCCAGGGAAACUGGAGCACAGAGUUCGAGACCCUGACGGACACCCUGACUAACCAGAUCAUUUCCCUGAAUGCCACACGGCUGGAAUUACCUACUGCUGAUGCUUUUCUUAAUAUGCUGAAACGGACUUUUAGUUAUUUUAAGGAGUGGGCGGGAAUAGGAGCCCUGACAGGCCUAAUGGUGCUUGCCUCCCUGGUAUGUCUGUGGUGCAUUUGUCGCAUGAGAGCCUCACAAUGUCGCAGUGAAGCAAUGAUCAUUCAAGCCUUCAUGGCUAUUGAAGCAGGACAGUCCCCCCAAGCUUGGUUAAAUACUUUAAAAGAUAUAUAAGCACAGGAUGCGAGGCUUGCACACUGCACUUGAGGGUAAUUACAUCUACCUCAAGAAGAGCAAGUCUGACUGCACAUGGACCGGUGCCUAACUCCCACCUCUGUAAAAAGGGCACCGAGCGGGUCUAGUGUUUUCUGGGUGGAUGACACCUGGAGAAACGCUGGUACAUGCUCUAAUUCGUAAAGAGAUCAGACCUCUACUCUUGCCUGUCGCUUUUAAAACAAAAAAGGGGGAACUGUAGAGAGCUGCGUAGAGCCGCACCUAAAAGAUGGUGCUGGCUUCCGCCUUCAGCGAUCCCGAAAGCGAGUGCUCUCAGUGGUAAACACCUUAUUUGGCUAAGACCAGGAUCACGUGAUGAUCGUAAGCUGCUUGCGUAUAAGUGGACCUAUGGACAGUGCCCACGUGGAGAUCCAGGAUUGGUAGCCCAGGGCUACUUAAGGACUGGGAGGAGCUUGCCCGGAGAGAGAAACUAUUGUAACAAGGUUCUGAGUAAACUGCUCAGAAGAGCAAGAAGA